UCCUGGUCUGACAAGUCAUUCCGCCUUUGCUCUGGGCCACGGUCUUACUACCUUGAAACCGAUGCUUCUCCAUAGCCUGAUCAGCAGAUCGGAAGAGUAAGAGAGGCAGAUCCUUCCUCUUCUACCACCAGAGCUCCGUCAGUGGAAAAUGUGUUCCAGGCCUCCGGGUUUGUCCCUUAGCAACAGUGCCCAUGUACUUGGAAUCCUUUCUACCCCUCCUCAUUGGUCCCUGGGAUCCCCAGUGAUCGCCAGACUCUGCUGAACUCCCCCAUUACCUGGUCACUUGCCUCUGUCUCCCCAUUCCUGCAGCCUCCCGGGAACCAGCAUAACAGCCCCCUUGAACACCUGCCCUCCACUGGAAGACUAAGAGAAUCAUUUCUUUAAGCUGGAGGAGAUCUUGGAGAUCAUCUGACGGAAGAACCGGGAGAGCCACAGUGACUUCCAUGACAUCAGAGAGCUAUUAUAGCUGCAAAGCCAGCAUAAGAACCUUACUCUCCCAUCUCUUGAUGCCACCUCCAUGGCUUCUCUGUGUCUAGCCCAGGGGCAGCAGGUACAAUUGGCUUCCCAAAGAAGGUUUUCAAAAAUUUCACGUAUUAGCAUUUGAACUCCAGGCCACUCUAAAAGGUAAUGUUUAAACCCACCUGGUGCCUUUAUUUCCCAGGUGGAAAUAAUUUGAAUGCUUCCUUGUCUUGACUCAUCUUUAUCCAUGCAUGUACAUGAUUUUUACCUCGUGUAAUCGGUACACACGCUUCUCAAGCUGCUUGAGUUUCAUUUGAAUGAUCACGUGUAAACAUUUUUCCAGUUUUCUGGGGCAGUGCUGCGAUAAUGAAAACGUUCAAUACCUGCAUUUUGACGGUAGCCACUAGCCACAUGUGGCUCUUGAGCACUUGAACAACUGAGGAACUGAAUUUAUCUUGUUUAGUUUUAAGUAAUUCAAAUGCAAAUUUAAAUAGCCACUUGUGGCUAGUGACUCCAGUAUUGGCUAGCAUAAUUCUAAAGAGUCAUCAUACACGUUUCCUACAAUGGAUGCAUAUUAUUGUAUCUAUAUCUUGGUUUAUUUUACCGUUUCUCUGUCCUCGAACCUUCAAAAGGCUUUUUGUUUCUGCUAUUGCAGCAAAUAUAGCAUUAUGUACAGUUACAU
rnacentral:lncRNA from 1 species